GCUUUCCUCCACCUCCAAAACCUGGCACGUCCUUAAAUGACCCUGGCUGUUAAUAGGACGUUAAACAAAAACAAACCAAAACAAAACCAAACUCAUCCCACUUCUUAUGUUUUAAAUGCACUUGAAGGUGAAUAAAGGUUUUUAGUGAAAAUUAUCCAGUUUUAAGUGCAAUGACAGGCUGUGAUCAGGAUUUUAGUAAGAAAUGUGUUGUUUGUUACAUGUACAACAGGAUUUUAGCGAGAAAUAUAUUGUUUUCUAGACGUACAACAGGAUUUUAGUGAGAAAUGUGUUGUUUUCUAGACGUACAACAGGAUUUUAGCGAGAAAUAUAUUGUUUUCUAGACGUACAACAGGAUUUUAGUGAGAAAUGUGUUGUUUUCUACAGGUACAACUGUGCAUUGUUUACAUACAUAUAAGCUAUUGUUAUUUACCUACAGAGAUCCUCAGUCAGGACUGAAGUACAAUGACAUCUGUCUGGGUAGAACCACUCGUGACUGUUAUGUCUCACAUAAUGUUUGGGAGCGUUACUCCUUCAACACCUUCAUCCAGCAUUACUUCAGACUUCCUGAUGGCAUUCCAGUGUGGGUCAAGGUCAAGGCCAGCAAUCACUGUCAGUAGUCAAGGCCAGCAAUCACUGUCAGUAGUAAAGGCCAGCAAUCACUGUCAGUAGUCAAGGCCAUCAAUCACUGUCAGUAGUCAAGGCCAUCAAUCACUGUCAGUAGUCAUGGCCAUCAAUCACUGUCAGUAGUCAAGGCCAUCAAUCACUGUCAGUAGUCAAGGCCAUCAAUCACUGUCAGUAGUCAAGGCCAGCAAUCACUGUCAGUAUUCAAGGCCAGCAGUCACUGUCAGUAGUCAAGGCCAUCAAUCACUGUCAGUAGGUCAAGGCCAUCAAUCACUGUCAGUAGGUCAAGGCCAGCAGUCACUGUCAGUAGGUCAAGGCCAUCAAUCACUGUCAGUAGUCAAGACCAGCAAUCACUGUCAGUAGUCAAGGCCAUCAAUCACUGCCAGUAGGUCAAGGCCAUCAAUCACUGUCAGUAGUCAAGGCCAUCAAUCACUGUCAGUAGGUCGAGGCCAGCAAUCACUGUCAGUAGUCAAGGCCAGCAAUCACUGUCAGUAGUCAAGGCCAGCAAUCACUGUCAGUAGGUCAAGGCCAGCAAUCACUGUCAGUAGUCAAUGCCAUCAAUCAUGGUCAGUAGGUCAAGGCCAUGAAUCAUGGUCAGUAGGUCAAGGCCAUCAAUCACUGUCAGUAGUCAAGGCCAUCAAUCAUAGUCAGUAUAGGUCAAGGCCAUCAAUAAUGGUCGGUACGGUCAAAGAGAUCAAAAAGACUUGUUGUCAGGAUGGUGUAUUUGAUAUUUUCUUGUUGCCUGAAAAAGUGACAUUACCUUAAAAGCAUCAGUUUUAUAACCAAACUUUCAAUCUGACUCAAUAUUCAAAGUUGUUUUCCUUAAAAAGGGUUUGUUUGGUAUGGCUUUUCAGAUCUUGAAGUCAAAGGUCAAAGUCACUAAAUAUCUCUAUUCUUCAAAAAUCCAUAUUAAGCAUCUUAUUAUUAUUAGUUUGUAAUGCUGAAUUGUACCUAUAACUAUUUUCUGGAAUUCUUGUUAUUUGUAGAAGUAAUGUGUUAAAACUCCAUCAGACUAAAUGUACUGGUAGUUUAAUGACCUGCACUCUUCUGUCAAAUUUGAAAUUCUGAUUUUAUGUAAGUCUUUACAAGAGAAAUAGUUGAAGCAUCAUACAAAAAUCAAUAGUAUCACUCAAAACUCCAAGUAUUUGAUCAUUUGAUAAUUUAAAUGUUUUCUUACAGUGGACCUUAGACCAAUCAAAGUGGCGAACUCUCAAAUCAUCAUUGACACAUCAAACCCCUUCCCUGGAAGUGUGAAUGACAGCCCCAUAUAUGGGGUUGACCUUCAGUAUACCAAAGACUAUGACCAGCUGUGUGUGAACUGGCAGGGUUUCUACGACCCGGAGUCUGGUAUAGCCUACUACCAAGUGUCUAUGGGGUCUGUGGAUAGUAUCAAUAUUACCUACAUCGCCAAUCUCACCCAGUACACACGCCUCGACCAUGAAGCAUGCGUCGCCCUUGAACCAGAAAAUUACCUGUAGCAUGACAAGGAGUACUUUGUGACUGUGUGGGCCUACAACGGGGGACACAAACAGCUGCCUGUAGCCAAGAUUUCAGAUGGAGUGGUAUGUGAUUUGACGGCCCCUUUUCCUGGUCAGAUUGUCGAUGGCAACAUGGCGAACUUUGAAGAUCAAGUAUACACAGCUGCCCAAGCCAAGGUCGAAGGAACCUGAGAACUUCUAAGAGACUGGACAACAUUUGAUAAUGACACUUUCAGCGUGAAUUGGCUAAACUUUCACUUGAACCAUCGGGAUUGUGUUAAGCUUGUUUUGAACACAACAAACGGUGCCUUAAUCACUAUCCAGAAUGAGACUAAUGGCUGUGUGGUUGACCUCACCCCACCCAAACUGUUAUAUCUAGGGGACGGCGUCAACCCUCGAGAGGACAGACACUUUCAGGGCAACAGACAUGUUCAUCGAGGAGGGGAAAGGCAUGUCGAUAACAAAUAUUG